rnacentral:rRNA from 1 species
GGGGUUUCCGCCCCUUUAUUGCUGCAGCUAACGCAUUAAGCACUCCGCCUGGGGAGUACGGCCGCAAGGCUGAAACUCAAAGGAAUUGACGCGGGCCCGCACACGCGGUGGAGCAUGUGGUUUAAUUCGAAGCAACGCGAAGAACCUUACCAGGUCUUGACAUCCCGCUGACCGCCUAGGAGACUAGGCUUUCCCUUCGGGGACAGCGGUGACAGGUGGUGCAUGGUUGUCGUCAGCUCGUGUCGUGAGAUGUUGGGUUAAGUCCCGCAACGAGCGCAACCCUUGAUCUUAGUUGCCAGCAUUCAGUUGGGCACUCUAAGGUGACUGCCGGUGACAAACCGGAGGAAGGUGGGGAUGACGUCAAAUCAUCAUGCCCCCUAUGACCUGGGCUACACACGUGCUACAAUGGACGGUACAAAGGGCUGCAAACCCGCGAGGGGGAGCCAAUCCCAGAAAACCGUUCUCAGUUCGGAUUGCAGGCUGCAACUCGCCUGCAUGAAGCCGGAAUCGCUAGUAAUCGCGGAUCAGCAUGCCGCGGUGAAUACGUUCCCGGGCCUUGUACACACCGCCCGUCACACCACGAGAGUUUGUAACACCCGAAGUCGGUGGGGUAACCCUACGGGAGCCAGCCGCCGAAGGAGUCACAGCGG